rnacentral:rRNA from 1 species
GUCCACGCCGUAAACGAUGGGUGCUAGGUGUGGGAGGUGUCGACUCCUUCCGUGCCGAAGCUAACGCAUUAAGCACCCCGCCUGGGGAGUACGGCCGCAAGGCUAAAACUCAAAGGAAUUGACGGGGGCCCGCACAAGCAGCGGAGCAUGUGGUUUAAUUCGACGCGACGCGAAGAACCUUACCAAGGCUUGACAUGGUCGGGAAAGCCGUAGAAAUACGGCCCUCCUUCGGGACUCGAUCACAGGUGGUGCAUGGCUGUCGU